rnacentral:rRNA from 1 species
UCCUACGGGCGGCAGCAGUGAGGAAUAUUGGUCAAUGGGCUUACGCCUGAACCAGCCAAGUCGCGUGAGGGAAGACUGCCCUAUGGGUUGUAAACCUCUUUUGUCAGGGAGCAACGCCGGCUACGUGUAGCCGGACUGAGAGUACCUGAAGAAAAAGCAUCGGCUAACUCCGUGCCAGCAGCCGCGGUAAUACGGAGGAUGCGAGCGUUAUCCGGAUUUAUUGGGUUUAAAGGGUGCGUAGGCGGAAUGCCAAGUCAGCGGUAAAAUCGCGGGGCUCAACCUCGUUCCGCCGUUGAAACUGGCGU